rnacentral:rRNA from 1 species
GACGAACGCUGGCGGCGUGCCUAAUACAUGCAAGUAGAACGCACAGUUUAUACCGUAGCUUGCUACACCAUAGACUGUGAGUUGCGAACGGGUGAGUAACGCGUAGGUAACCUGCCUGGUAGCGGGGGAUAACUAUUGGAAACGAUAGCUAAUACCGCAUAAUAUUAAUUAUUGCAUGAUAAUUAAUUGAAAGGUGCAAUUGCACCACUACCAGAUGGACCUGCGUUGUAUUAGCUAGUAGGUGAGGUAACGGCUCACCUAGGCGACGAUACAUAGCCGACCUGAGAGGGUGAUCGGCCAAACUGGGACUGAGACACGGCCCAGACUCCUACGGGAGGCAGCAGUAGGGAAUCUUCGGCAAUGGACGAAAGUCUGACCGAGCAACGCCGCGUGAGUGAAGAAGGUUUUCGGAUCGUAAAGCUCUGUUGUAAGAGAAGAACGGGUGUGAGAGUGGAAAGUUCACACUGUGACGGCAUCUUACCAGAAAGGGACGGCUAACUACGUG